GCAUUAAUGGGGUAGUGGUAACCUGGGUCGUUGCCAUUCAAGAGAGUGCGCUCUGCAAUGUCUCGACCCGCCGGGGGUUCGAUUCCCCCUUAAUGCA